rnacentral:rRNA from 1 species
GAUCCUGGCUCAGGACGAACGCUGGCGGCGUGCUUAACACAUGCAAGUCGAACGAGAAUCUAUGGAAAGAGGAUUCGUCCAAUUGAAAUAGAGGACAGUGGCGGACGGGUGAGUAACGCGUGAGGAACCUGCCUUUCAGAGGGGGACAACAGUUGGAAACGACUGCUAAUACCGCAUAACGCGUAGAGGUCGCAUGGCCUUUACGCCAAAGAUUUAUCGCUGAAAGAUGGCCUCGCGU